UUUUGGAAAGUAGGAAAAUAACUUCUGAAAAUGUUUUUCGGAUAAUGAGUCAUUUUUGCAAAAAAUAUUUUAAUUUUC